AUAAAAAACCCUGGCGCGGUUGCAAAUCGGGUGAUACAUUGAGAUUUUUAAUUAUGCAUAGAGAAAUAAACAAAGAAACCAAGAUAUAAAAAUAAAACAAGAUAAAAUAAACCAGCCUAAUAAUAUAAAGCAAAUCUACCUAAUUUGAUUUUUUUCUUUUAUAAUAAAAGAAAAUCUUGACCAUCGGUUAGGGACUUUGGCGAAGGGUUCCAGCGAGGGAGAGCUCGUCGGCUAGGGUUCCGGCGAGGGCAAACCGGUGGCGGAAGAGCUCCGGCAACAAGAGGAACGGCGGAGACCGGCGUGGGGGACUCGCGGGUCUGGGUGCGGGUGUCGCGGGCGAGGGACUCCGAGCGCGGGCUGAAGCACGGCGGAGACGGCGUCGGGGCGGCGAGGCAGCAGGGAGCGUCGCGGGCGGCACGGCGAGAACGGGCAGGGAGACCUCGAACGCGGGCAGAGGCAAAGGCGGCGUCGGGGCUGCAUCGGGGCGGCGCAGCGAGACCGGCGGGCGGCGUCGCGAGCGGAGCAGGGGCUUCGACGCGUUCCGGCGAGGCAACGUCGGAUCCGGGCCGAUCUGGAGCAACGACGUCAGGGAGCAACUCCGGUGCGGCGGAUCGAGGUUGAUGCGGCAAAUCAGCGACGGCGGGGCAGCAGAAACGUCAGAUCGUCGCAGGAUCUGGGAGUUGCAGGCGGCGGGACCGAUCUGCUGGGUCUCCGGGCGCCGGGGCUCGCGGAUGAAGAUGCGGCGGCGGAACGUCGGGGGGGCAGCUCAGGCGAGGGGCGGCUUCGCGGCUUCGGGCGGACUUGCGCAGGCUCUCGCGGACGGAGGCCGGCGGCGGUGAGCAGCAGCGGCGCCGGCUGCUCUUCGGGGAAGAUGAACAGUAGCCGAUUAGGGUUUCGGCUACUUUUUAUUUUUUACUUUUUCCUCUCUCCACUCACUUUUGACCUUUUUCUCUCUUUUUACCAACGGAAAAGAAGCCCCCCAAUUUACC
rnacentral:lncRNA from 1 species